CCUACGGGAGGCAGCAGUGGGGAAUAUUGGACAAUGGGGGGAACCCUGAUCCAGCGACGCCGCGUGAGUGAAGAAGUAUUUCUGUAUGUAAAGCUCUAUCAGCAGGGAAGCAAGAAAUGACGGUACCUGACUAAGAAGCCCUGGCUAACUACGUGCCAGCAGCCGCGGUAAUACGAAGGGGGCAAGCGUUAUCCGGAUUUACUGGGUGUAAAGGGAGCGUAGGCGGGGAUGCAAGUCUGAAGUGAAAGGCGGGGGCCCAACCCCCGGACUGCUUUGGAAACUGGAUGGCUGGAGUGCAGGAGAGGUAAGUGGAAUGCGUGGUGUAGCGGUGAAAUGCGUAGAGAUUAGGAGGAACACCAGUGGCGAAGGCGGCUUACUGGACUGUAACUGACGUUGAGGCACGAAAGCGUGGGGAGCAAACAGGAUUAGAUACCCGAGUAGUC
rnacentral:rRNA from 1 species